CGCGUAGGCGGCAUUGCAAGUCAGAUGUGAAAGCCCCGGGCUUAACCCGGGAACUGCAUCUGAAACUGCAUUGCUUGAGUCCUGGAGGGGGUAGUGGAAUUCCCAGUGUAGCGGUGAAAUGCGUAGAUAUUGGGAGGAACACCUGCGGCGAAGGCGGCUACCUGGACAGUGACUGACGCUGAGGCGCGAAAGCUAGGGGAGCGAACGGGAUUAGAUACCCCGGUAGUCCUAGCCGUAAACGAUGGGCACUUGGUGUUGGGGGUAUUGAGUCCCCCGGUGCCGGAGCUAACGCGAUAAGUGCCCCGCCUGGGGAGUACGGUCGCAAGACUGAA
rnacentral:rRNA from 1 species